GGCGGACGGGUGCGUAACGCGUAUGCGACCUACCCUGUACUGGGGGAUAGCCCGGAGAAAUCCGGAUUAAUACCCCAUGGUCUCAAGAUGCUUCAUGGCAAUUUGAGUAAAGAUUUAUCGGUACAGGCUGGGCAUGCGUCCCAUUAGCUAGUUGGUGAGGUAAUGGCUCACCAAGGCAACGAUCCGUAGCUGGUCUGAGAGGAUGAUCAGCCACACUGGCACUGAGACACGGGCCAGACUCCUACGGGAGGCAGCAGUGAGGAAUCUUGCGCAAUGGAGGAAACUCUGACGCAGCCAUGCCGCGUGCAGGAAGACACCCCUCAGGGGCGUAAACUGCUUUUAUAUGGGAAGAACACCCCACUCGGUGGGGUCUGACGGUACCAUAUGAAUAAGGACCGGCUAACUCCGUGCCAGCAGCCGCGGUAAUACGGAGGGUCCAAGCGUUGUCCGGAAUCACUGGGUGUAAAGGGUGUGUAGGCGGGCCUGUAAGUCAGAAGUGAAAGCCCCCGGCCUAACCGGGGAAUGCCUUUGAUACUGCAGGUCUUUGAGUCCUGGAAGGGUCACUAGAAUCGUGGUGUAGCGGUGAAAUGCGUAGAUAUCACGAGGAAUACCAGAAGCGAAGGCCGGUGACUGGACGGUACUUGACGCUGAAGCACGAAAGCGUGGGGGAGCAAACAGGAUUAGAUACCCUGGUAGUCCACGCUUGUAAACGAUGGAUGCUCCGGUGUGGCGGCCUUCUUGGCCGCCUUGCCCAAGCUAACGCGUUAAGCAU
rnacentral:rRNA from 1 species